UACAGAGGGUGCGAGCGUUUGUCCGGAAUUAUUGGGCGUAAAGAGCUCGGUAGGCGGUCUGUCGCGUCGAAUGUGAAAACCCGGGGCUCAACCCCGGGCCUGCAUUCGAUACGGGCAGACUAGAGUUCGGUAGGGGAGUCUGGAAUUCCUGGUGUAGCGGUGAAAUGCGCAGAUAUCAGGAGGAACACCGGUGGCGAAGGCGGGACUCUGGGCCGAUACUGACGCUGAGGAGCGAAAGCGUGGGGGAGCAAACAGG
rnacentral:rRNA from 1 species